CAGGAAAUAGUUUAAAUAAAAUGAUAAUUUUGGGUGUUAUAGAUAAGUAGUAUUACUUUUUUCUGA
rnacentral:tRNA from 1 species